rnacentral:rRNA from 1 species
CCUACGGGAGGCAGCAGUGGGGAAUAUUGGACAAUGGGGGCAACCCUGAUCCAGCCAUGCCGCGUGUGUGAAGAAGGCCCUCGGGUUGUAAAGCACUUUCAGUGAGGAAGAACGCCUGGUGGUUAAUACCCAUCAGGAAAGACAUCACUCACAGAAGAAGCACCGGCUAACUCCGUGCCAGCAGCCGCGGUAAUACGGAGGGUGCGAGCGUUAAUCGGAAUUACUGGGCGUAAAGCGCGCGUAGGUGGCUUGAUAAGCCGGUUGUGAAAGCCCCGGGCUCAACCUAGGAACGGCAUCCGGAACUGUCAAGCUAGAGUGCAGGAGAGGAAGGUAGAAUUCCCGGUGUAGCGGUGAAAUGCGUAGAGAUCGGGAGGAAUACCAGUGGCGAAGGCGGCCUUCUGGACUGACACUGACACUGAGGUGCGAAAGCGUGGGUAGCAAACAGGAUUAGAUACCCUAGUAGUC